rnacentral:rRNA from 1 species
GAUGAACGCUGGCGGCGUGCUUAACACAUGCAAGUCGAACGGUGAAGCAGGAGCUUGCUCUUGUGGAUCAGUGGCGAACGGGUGAGUAACACGUGAGCAACCUGCCCCUGACUCUGGGAUAAGCGCUGGAAACGGCGUCUAAUACUGGAUAUGUGAUGUGACCGCAUGGUCUGCAUCUGGAAAGAAUUUCGGUUGGGGAUGGGCUCGCGGCCUAUCAGCUUGUUGGUGAGGUAAUGGCUCACCAAGGCGUCGACGGGCAGCCGGCCUGAGAGGGUGACCGGACACACUGGAACUGAGACACGGUCCAGACUCCUACGGGAGGUAGCAGUGGGGAAUUUUGCGCAAUGGACGAAAGUCUGACGCAGCAACGCCGCGUGGGUGAUGAAGGUCUUCGGAUUGUAAAACCCUGUCGUCAGGGACGAAGGUUGGGGCCUUAAUACGGUUUCAACUUGACGGUACCUGGAGAGGAAGCCCCGGCUAACUC